rnacentral:miRNA from 1 species
UCCCUGUUUUAAAGUAUUAAAAAUAAUCUUCAAACCCAUUCCUUCACUCCUAUUGAAGAUUAUUUUUAAUACUUUAAAACAGGGGUG